rnacentral:rRNA from 1 species
UACGUAGGGACCGAGCGUUGUCCGGAAUCAUUGGGCGUAAAGCGCGUGUAGGCGGCUUUGCAAGUCGGGUGUGAAAGCCCUCGGCUUAACCGAGGAAGUGCGCCCGAAACUGCAGAGCUUGAGUACCGGAGAGGAUGGCGGAAUUCCCCAAGUAGAGGUGAAAUUCGUAGAUAUGGGGAGGAACACCUGCGGCGAAGGCGGGUUGCUGGGCUGACACUGACGCUGAGGCGCGAAAGCUAGGGGAGCGAACGGG